rnacentral:rRNA from 1 species
CCUACGGGUGGCAGCAGUAGGGAAUAUUGCUCAAUGGGGGAAACCCUGAAGCAGCAACGCCGCGUGGAGGAUGAAGGUUUUCGGAUUGUAAACCCCUUUUGUUAGAGAAGUAAAUGACGGUACUUAACGAAUAAGAACCGGCUAACUCCGUGCCAGAGGCCGCGGUAAUACGGAGGGUGCAAGCGUUAUUCGGAAUCACUGGGCGUAAAGGGCGCGUAGGCGGGAUAGCAAGUCAGAUGUGAAAUCCUAUGGUUUAACCAUAGAACUGCAUUUGAAACUGUUAUUCUAGAGUAUGGGAGAGGUAGGUGGAAUUCUUGGUGUAGGGGUAAAAUCCGUAGAGAUCAAGAGGAAUACUCAUUGCGAAGGCGACCUGCUAGAACAUAACUGACGCUGAUGCGCGAAAGCGUGGGGAGCAAACAGGAUUAGAUACCCUGGUAGUC